GCAAUAAAAACACACCAUUCUGCCGAAGUUAAUGGCCCAUUAACAACAGCUGGCGGACUCAACACACUGAAAUGAUUCCUGGUCCUGGUGUUCCCCCAGCAUUACUGCCUCGGAAGAAAAUAGAUCUGACCUUGUUGAAGUGGCCUUCUUCCUGUGUGGGGACCAUGGCAACUGGCCUCAUUGCCCCUGCUCCCAUAUAAAGUGGCAUGAAGCUUUGACAGAAGGAAAGAUUGAAAAGCUGGAAGUUUUCACAAUAGCUCCUUGCUGAAGCAGUAGGAGGAAACAGCUCAUCUGGACACCCAAGUGGAAUCAAGAGAAACAUCAAUUGGUUAAAAGGUUAGGCUACCUGAUGACUCAUAGACAGAAACCUGAGCUGCAGCUCUCUCACAGCUAGAGAGGAAAUUUAAGAAGUCAGUGAAGCCUAGCUGUAAUAGGUGCAGCUGCAGCUAAGCUCCACAGUGAUGAAAAAACCUAGGAUCUCUCUCUGGGACCAGAGAGAGGAAAGUUUACUAAACUGUAUAAAGGACUGAACCAUUUUGGCUGGUACCUGAGAGCAACUUGUUACUUUAUUAUUUUGUAACAUUUAUCUUACUGUAACUAAUAUUUAAGAUUAUUCUGCAGUAAAGUUUUGAAACUCA